GACGAACGCUGGCGGCGCGCUUAACACAUGCAAGUCGAACGGUGAACGAGGGAGCUUGCUCCCUCCGGAUCAGUGGCGAACGGGUGAGUAACACGUGAGCAAUCUGCCCCGAACUCUGGGAUAAGCGUUGGAAACGACGUCUAAUACCGGAUACGACGCGGGAGGGCAUCCUCUCCGCGUGGAAAGAACUUCGGUUCGGGAUGAGCUCGCGGCCUAUCAGCUUGUUGGUGAGGUAACGGCUCACCAAGGCGACGACGGGUAGCCGGCCUGAGAGGGUGACCGGCCACACUGGGACUGAGACACGGCCCAGACUCCUACGGGAGGCAGCAGUGGGGAAUAUUGCACAAUGGGCGCAAGCCUGAUGCAGCAACGCCGCGUGAGGGACGACGGCCUUCGGGUUGUAAACCUCUUUUAGCAGGGAAGAAGCGAAAGUGACGGUACCUGCAGAAAAAGCACCGGCUAACUACGUG
rnacentral:rRNA from 1 species